UUUUACCAAGCUCAGUUCUGACAAGGGGCACACAAAGAUUAUAAUUAUAUAUUUUAUUAUUCGCCUACAUGUCCUAUGAUCAUUAACCGACAUCAGAGAAACACGAACAUGAGGAUGUGCUGUUAAAUUGUUGAAAUAUUAAUUUAAAAUCUCCGGGGACUUCGAGAAGAUGUUUUAUGUUCUGUAGUCAAGAAAAGACUGUUAAGCACUGUUAUGCAUGCACACAGCAUAUGAAAGAGGAUGAUGUGAGUUUGUGCUAAACAGAAAACAAAGCGUGAAAUCAGUCAAUUAAAAUCUCCUAGCGCCCCAGGACACGUAAACGCAUGCGUAAACCCUACAAAUAGCAGCAUCUGCGCACUCCAGCUCAGUAGGUGGCGAUACUUUAUCUAUAAGCUGAUUUGCCAACUGCUAAUAAUCGUUAGAAGAAAACAACGACGACCAACCAGUCCGUCUUUCAAACAAAAACACGUGCAGAAAAUGAACAAGAAAAAGCCUCAAAAACGCUAUUGGGAGGAAACAGAAAACACAGACCAAAGGAGACCAGAGGAAGAACAAGAUACAGCUGGUCAGAACCAGAAUAAAUCAACAGUAAAAGAAAGGUCAAUUAAAAAGGAUGAAUGGUGAAAGUUUGGAUAAUUUUUAGGUCUGAUGCUAUUUGUCACAAUAUUGUAAUGAAGGUCUUAUUGAUUAGUGAAGUUCUUAAACAAGAACGAAAAUUUAAAAUAAUAUUUAUUAUUAUGCUUUAAAAACAAUUUCUUAAUAAAUAAAAAAAAAAUGACUACUGAAAAUGCACCUUAAUUCAAUGUAGAAACAGAGCUGAAGUUAGG
rnacentral:lncRNA from 1 species